GAUGAACGCUGGCGGCGUGCCUAAUACAUGCAAGUCGAGCGAACGGACGAGUAGCUUGCUUCUCACAUGAUAGCCGCGCACGGGUGAGUCACAUGUGGAUACCCUCCCUCAAAUACUGGGAUAACUUCGAGAAACCGGAGCUAAUCCCGGAGAAUAUCUUGAACCGCGUUGUGCAAGAGUGAAAGACGGUGUUGCUUUCACUUAUAGACUGAUCCCCGCUGCAUUAGCUAGUUGGUGAGCUAACGGCCUACCAAGACAACGAUGCAUAGCCGACCUGAGAGGGUGGUCGGCGACACGGGAGCUGAGACAGGGUCCAUGCGCCUACGGGAGGGAGCAGUAGGGAAUGGUCCGCAAUGGGCGAGAGCCUGACGGAGCAGGGGCGCGUGAGAGGUGAAGGUCCUCGGAUCGUGAUACUCUGUUAUGAGGGAAGAACAUAUGUGUAAGUAACUGUGCAGAUCUUGACGGUACCUAGUCAGAAAGCCACGGCUAACUACGUG
rnacentral:rRNA from 1 species